rnacentral:lncRNA from 1 species
UGAUUUUCCCCAGGCCCAAACCAAAGUCCCCUUCAAUUACAUGGCCUAGAGUCACGACGCAUCCACUCCCCUUUUUGGCUCUCAUCUUCACCUCAAAAGACCGAGGGAUCAGACUUCAAUGGAGGAAAACUAGCAGCUAACGGACUCCCUCAUAUCAGCGUCGUUUCCCCAUUCUUCAUCCUCAUCUCUUGCUGAACCAGAAAGAGACCUCUCUCAUCUUCAAUAAGAACAAAAAUCGGACCCUUUCCCUCUAGGACCAACCUUAGCCGGCAUAAAUACACACUCAUUCGUCACAAAUAACACACGACUGAAAUAAAGCUAAGAAAAUUCAAAUGAAGAUUUGAAAUCGCCAAGCUUGAAAAACAAAAGAAGAAUUGGAAUAUUUAAAGGAAGAUUGAAGGAAAAUUGAUUUAGAAAUUCAACUUCUUUUUUUCUAUUGGGUUUGUACAAGCUAUCAAAGUUCGAAUCUAUGGCUGUUUUCGCUUCUCUUUUGGGAGGUUGUUAUACUCAAGCCGAGAUCCUUGUUUCUACCGUUGCUCCGGAGUUGACCAAGCUGUAAUUGUAGCGACUGGUUUUUGGAUUUCUUUGGACCUGUUUCAGUCAUUUUCUCUACUGCUUAAUUAGGUAAGUUGGAAUCCCCCUUGUAUUCUGUUUUUUUUCUUUUCAUUUUAAUGAUUAAAACUGUUGGGUCCCUUGAUUAAUUCAUGUGAGUUUGUUUCAUGACUUGGAAUUCUGCUAUCUCAGUAUUUUAGGCAAUUUGUUUUGAUUAACGUGUUGUCAUAGCUGAUAUGCUUAUUCAUGUUGAAGACACCAUCUUUUAAUUACUGUUUGGGAAUAUUAUCUCUUAUGGUGCCUGAUUAGGAAAAUUGAAAAAUCUAUGAAAUUGCAUUGAGGCUUAAGUUGUUAUUUGGGCUGCCACCUUAAUAGAUGCUUUUGAGCAGUCUGUACCAGUGUAAUGCGAAAUGCUGCUCAAGUCACUUUUCGUUUCUUUUCCAAUAUUGAAAUACUAUGUUAUAUUCAUAAAGGUUCUAUCUCUCACAGUAAAAUGAACAACCAAAUUUUAAUCUUUCUUAAAAUGAUGGGUUAAAUAUAAAUGCACAACAAAAGCAAAGAAAGUGAUACCUUCUCUUUUGGUCGUUUUUUUUACUUCUCAAAAGUUGAAAAUCUAGUAGUCAUUUUGAAGAAUGCUGUUGUACCUCUGCUGCUCUCAUGAACGCGAUAGAUGCGUUAAUGUCAAAUUUUCUAGCAUCCCAGAUUCAAUUUUAGCGAAAAUAAUUUUUGUGUGUCUGACUUUGAUAUUGCCUCUCUGCCACUUUUAUAUAGGUUUGCUUAAUUGUUCUAGUCAUUUUCUCUAAGCCAAGAGUAAAUGACACAUAUUAAUUACAAAAGGCCCAAUGACAAUUAUUCCAUAGUGAUCCCAUUAUCCAUAAUCUUGACUUUACAGCAAAUUCCAAAUUUGGAAGAAGAAUCAUAAGUAUGCAUUAGCUGCCGUACGCACAAUUAAUAAACCAUUGUGACUAUGGGUACGGUUCAUGUGACAUAGUUACGAUGCCUAAUUCCAAAACUCGGGGGUGCAUUUCAUGCGACCCGAUCAUAACAACUUCGAAUAAUAAAACCCUUUGGAAUAAUUCGAGGCAUGCCAUUCCAAAUAAAAUCCCGAAACCCAUGGCCCUCACUCAAUUAAUUUUUAUCCUUAGAAUUCGAGGCGUUCCAUUUAGUUGAAUCUCCAUGGCCCUCGCUGAUUUAAAAUGCGUAGUUGCUUUAGGCACGCUAUUUAAUAGUUUACCUUCCGAAACUCAGGUGCGCAUUUAUGUGACCCAAAUCCAAAUCUCAACAACGUUAGAUAAAAUGUGGUGCGGACUGCGGGUGCAUUUAUGUGACGUGGUUCAAGAUGUAUUUGAAAUGAUGUUGCAAUCUUCCUUAAAAAUGAAUAAAGGCACUUAUAAAGUUAAAAUUAAACCAUAGGCUAAAACAUGUAUUAAAAUAAGAUAAUAGGCCAAUUGUAACAGUUGAGCGACUAUGCUAGAACUACGGAACCUGAGAAUGCCUAACACCUUCUCCCGGGUUAACAGAAUUCCUUUCCCGAACUUUUGUGUUCGCGGACUGUAAAAUAGAGUCAAUCUUUCCUCGAUUCGGGAUUUGAACCAGUGACUUGGGAAACCAUAAAUUAUCCAAGUGGCGACUUUGAAUUUUAAAUAAAAUAAUUCUGUUUCGAUUGUCACUUAAAGUUGGAAAAAACUCCCUUAUAUAUGCCUCCCGGGGUGUAGUAAAAAGGAGGUAUGACAGUUCUGGCGACUCUGUUGGGGAUCAAACCUAGAAUCACUGGUUCAGGGUUCAGAAUUCAAGCUUAGAUGAAUUGUUGUAUUUGGAUUUAUAUGUUAUCUGAUUACAUGCUUGGGCCUAAUGUGUUAAAUGAUGCUUUUACCGCUUUGAUAUUAUUUGAAUUGUAUAUAAACUGCUAUGAGACCCUUCUCUUCUCAUCUUCGGGAUGUGCUCGUUGUUCGAGACUCCUUAUGUUGUUAGUGUCAUACCUUGAAAUAAGAAAGAGGCUCGGACAAGUUACUAAGCCGGAUGGCCUUUUGGUAUCCGGUACGUAACCCCCUCCUCGGCUCGAGUUGUCCGCUCGGGUACACAGUCUAGAACACAUACCCAAGUUUUGAACCUAGAAUAACUCAGCCUCAUACUAGAUCCCUAGUAUGAACGUUUGUUUGCAUCAUGUGCAUUUGACUUUGGAGACUCAACACAGGGGUUGGGUCUGUCUAGGAUAGGUGUACCCGAAAUGAAAAGACCAUCCUGAUGCAUCCUACUUGCUACUUGUGCAUUUAUUUGUUUCGGAUUUGCAUGCUGACCGGCCUAUGAAUGAUUACAUGAGAGUUGGAAAAGAAAAAUUGACAUGAGGGCACAGAGAGAUAAUCACCUGUUUUGAAAAAAACCAGUACACUGAAACUCGGCCAAAUUUCUGACAAAAAUUUUCUGUUUUCCUUUUAAAAGAAUAGGUGGUUUUUAUCAAAUCUGCCCGAACUAUGCCAGUUCGAUUCUUACAGGAUGUGGGAUACGUAGGCAACCCCCAUCGGGUCCAACUUCCCUUUUGCAAAAAUAGCCCAAAAAGAACAAAUAUUUUCUUUUAUUUUAAAUAAGCAGGGUGAUGCCAUUUUUGUCUAAAAAAGCUUAAUGUCCCCAAAAGGAUGUCGGAAGGCUGUUUUAGCAAGAACAACCACCUUUGGUCUCUUUUUCGAAUUUUUGGCCGGUUAGCAAGCACAGCCUUAAAAUCUUCUCCCCGGAAGUGCUGAAAGGCCGUAUUUGCAAAGCCGUGUUUUAUUUUUUAAAUGACAAUUUGAAAAAAACUUUUCUUGAGUCAAAUGAGUCAUGAUUUUGCUUAAUCACCCUAAUAAAUGUGCAGAAUGAGCACGAGUCAAAAUUUGCCAAUAACAGUCAUGAACAAGAUCCCUUUGGAGCUGUGUAAGUGGUGGGAAGAUCUGGGUAAAUUAGGGCAAGAUAAGGUUAAUCUAUACUUGGGAGGACUCACCGGGUUGUUGAAGAUCAGGCCUAGAGGGGACAUCAUAAAGGCGUUGGUUACAUUCUGGGACUCGGCCCAUAACGUUUUUCAUUUCUCAGAUUUUGAACUCACCCCAACUCUGGAAGAAAUAGCCGGAUAUAUUGGGAGCGCUGAAGUUCCUCUGAGACACAAGUAUUUGGUUGCUCCAAGAGUCGUCGCUGUACACAGAUUCCUAGAUUCUUUAAAGAUAAGCUGGGGGUCCACAACCCAGAUUUGGCAGCCGGUUUUUCCACUCCGCAGUUUAUAUACCAGAGAUAUGGUCAUAUAGGCGGGUUUAACAAUCUAGAAAACAAAAUUUAUAGCAAAGGGAAUCGCCUCAAAUGGGAAGAACACAGGUGCUUUGCUUUUAUGGUGGUAUUCUUGGGUCUUCUGGUGUUUCCUAGGAAAGAUGGAAAUAUCGAUAUACGUAUAGCUGGGGUCGUCAGUACUUUGCUUACUCAGGCCAAAAGCACCCUCGCACCCAUUAUAGUGUCAAAAAUCUCCCGCGCUCUCACAGCCUGCAAAGUCGAAGGAGACUCUUUUGAAUGGUGCAACGUGUUGCUACAAAUGUGGAUGAUUGAACAUCUAUGUCAUUGUCCUCAAUACAUGAGCUAUGGGUCGACAGAGAAAAACUGCAUAGAGGAAUUUUAUACAAGGGUUGACGGGUUUAACCUACCAAAAGGGGUCACAGAAUGGAUAUCACAUCUCAGUUCCAUCACUGCAGACCAAAUAGAAUGGACGUUCGGGUGGCUUCCUAUAGAUGAAAUCGUAUACAUGCCAACUACCGGACCUCACUUCCUCCUGAUGGGUCUCAGAAGUAUCCAGCCUUAUACCCCAUACCGGGUUUUGAGACAGUUAGGGAGAUGUCAAAUAGUUCCAAAAGAUGAAGAUCUUAGUGCUCAGGCAGUCAUGGUUGGUCCUGAUGGUCAAUUCCAUGAAGCAGCAGUUCGCCAAAUCUGGAGCGAGUGUCAAUACUUGACGGCAAAUACUUGUGUGCGUGAUCUAUCCAAAGGUGAAGUUUCACCCGGAUACCUUGCUUGGUAUAAAAGGGAAGUUGAGUCUGGAAGGCCGGCCAAAAGACCCCAUCUUCAAGAAUUCAUCGAGGCGUCACAAGCGCAAUGGGAUUAGUUGGCCAAAUAAAAUGAGUACAGGGCUAUCAUAAGCAAGCUGGAAAAGCAAGUAAAGGACCUUCAAUUCGAGAAUGGUUUGCAAGCUGCUGCGGAUGAGGGCGAAAAGAAAAAGUUGGCCAAAGAAAAUGAGGCCCUUCGAGGCCAGAUUCGGGAAAUGAAAAUAGCAGCUAAAAAUCCCGCUAGAAGUGCAAAAUAUAAAAAGCUUAUAAAGAACCUUAGGCAGAAGGUGAGUGAGUAUGGCUUCGAUUUGAACAAGGAAGAGGGAGAAUUAGCAAGGGCUCGAACAAAGCUGGCUAAAAAUGCGGAGGAACGAGAGCGCUUGAUUAAGCAAUUAAAAGAUAAAUAUGACAAUGAGGUUGUGGGGUUGAAGAAAAGGGUCACCAUCUUUGAGAACAAAAUGAUCAAGCAGGCAAAAGACUUUAAGGUAGAAAAGGAACAUUGUCACGCAGCAAUGACACAGUUAGAAAGAGAUUUGCAACAACUUCAAGAACAGAAUCAUGUAGCCGAACAAACUUUGGAAGCCAGGGCCCAGAAUAUUGGGCGUUUGUUGCAAGAAAAGGGUGUCAUAAGAGAGAGAGUCAGAAGGAUCGCCGACUACAUCGCGAUGAAGUGUAGUAGUUGUGAGGAUAUGACUAGAUCCAUGUUCUUUGCCAUCGUGAUGACCUUUGUCCGCCAGAUAAUGGAAGAUCUCUACCACCUCCAAGGCGAUUUAGCGUUUAGGCCCAUGGCGAGACCGAAUGAUGUCCCGCGGGCCCUAGGAGCAGUUGAGGCGUUGAUGUAUUCGUAAGUUUCUUUGAAGUCUAUUAGUCUAUUUUUGAGUCUGUAUUUUCAUCUUUCUGUUGGAGUUUGUUAGUCUGUAUUUUCAUCUUUUCAUCAAAGUCUGUUAGUGUCUUUUUGAGUCUGUUAGUUUUUGAGUCGUUGUAUUCAAAGCAUUUUCUUUUUAUGAAAAUUUGAAAAUCCCAAAAUAUUUUAUUUUUACACUUAUACCCCAGAACUAUACUCGGUCUGAUUCAUGUGAUGUUAUGAUACGUAGGCAAUCUCCAUAGGAUUCGACCAUAACCAAAAGAAAGAAAAAAAAGAGAAAGGAAAAGAAAAAGAAAAGAAAAAAGAAGAAUAAUAUAACAAAAAACAGAAAAGAAAAAAAAAGAAACCGUGGGGAGGAAACAAUGGCAAAAUAAGAGAGAGAAAUGAGAGAAUAAAAAAACAAAGGGAAAUUAAACAAAGAAAGGCAAGAAUGAAAAAGAAAAAAAAAAAGAGAAAAAGAGUGGUUGCAAAUAGAAAUAAGGGAAAGUCAGGAUGACGUAAGCAACCGAUCAAAUGCAUAAUAGAAAUGGCUAACUGCUUAGGUGCAUUCAUUCCCCAAAUGUGCGGUUGCCUAUCUGUUAAACCCUGAUCACUAACAAGUUUGUUGUUGUUGUCAAGUACCAGGCAGGUGGUUAAUUUGUGUGGAAUUCUGGCAACUCACCCAUACAACACCCGGUCCAAAAACAAGACGAUCAUGGCUAAUCAAGAACUUGAUGCGAGUGUUAUCAAUCCUUCGAGAGAGGUAGAAGAGUCAGAGGUUAAUUUGAUGAAAGAAGAGAUGUAUAAGCUGAAAUAGCAGAUGGCCGAAAUGUACCAGGCAUGGGCAAAAGGGCAACCACCACCAGCUUACCCCACCAACCCUGCCUUCAUCCCGCCAUUGGCUCAGUCUCAGGAUCAUCCUGCCACCUAUUCGUCCUCGAGCUUUCCCAUUUACCAACAUUACCAGAGCACAACUUCCCAAACACCACCAGCUCCACCACCCAAACCAGUUCCAUACCCUCCUCCACCAGCCACUCCAGUUUUCGUGGUACCCCUCCCGCUACACUCCACAGAUCCUCCAGCGAGCCUUUGUUCCCUGCUCAUGAUAAUCAGUAUUACCCCCCGGAGCCCACUUUCAAAGCUCCAGAACCCUAUUCCUACACGCCUCAUUUUGAUCUCCCUGUGGAGGCUGAGAAACCAUCAAAAAUCCCAAAUAGGAGGAGAUAUUCAGGAAAGUUAAAAGCCUAGAACAGUCAUUCAGAGACAUGAGGGGGUUGGGAAGUCAAGUAAGUGUGGCUUACGAAGAUCUAUGUCUAUUUCCAAAUGUGCAAUUGCCGAUAGGGUUUAAGAUGCCCAAGUUUGAUUUGUACGAUGGGCCUACUGAUCUAGUGGCACAUUUGAGAGAGUUUUGUAGCAAUAUGAGGAGAGCUGGCGGGAAAGACGAGUUGCUAAUAGCAUAUUUCAGUCAGAGUCUGAGUGGUUCAGCGCUGGAGUGGUACACUCAGCAGGAUCACGGAAGAUGGGGGGCAUGGUAGAAGAAGGGCUUAAGUCCAACAAAAUCAUGAGCUACUCAGCUAUUAAGGCAACCACCCAGGCCAUUCAAAAUGGUACUGGGGGAGCAAUUGGAAAGAAGAAGAAAGAGGAUGUCACAACAGUUGAGUCAAGAACUUGGUUCGAAUCCAGGGGUUCACCUUACCACUAUCAUCAGCUUGGUCCCCAUCACCAAACCUACCCCCACACCCCAUAUAAUCUACCCCAACACUACUACCCACCACCAGACCCCUAUAUUUCUGUCCACUAUGCCCAAACAUAUAGCCAACCUCCUGCCCACGCACAAUGGCGUGCGCCAGUCCCACAAAAUACAUACCCAGCUCCACAAAAUGCCUAUCCACCCCCAAAAUCCUACUGAAACCCUCCUGGAUUAGGUUUUCAGCCCAAUCAAGCAUUGAAGAAUGAGAGGUUGCAGAAAAAGAAAACCUUCACUCCAUUAGGAGAGUCCUACACUAGUUUUUUCCACAAGUUGAAACAAUUGGAUAUGUUGAGGCCGAUAGAGCCAAAACUGCCAAAUCCUCCCCCGAGAAAUCUUGAUCAUUUUGUAAGUUGCAAAUAUUGUUCUAGUGCUCUGGGUCACGACACGGAGAAAUGCUGGCAAUUGAAAAUAACUAUUCAAGAGCUCUUUGAUACCAAUCGAAUUGAAGUCCAAGCUCUAGAGGCGCCCAAUAUCAACCAGAAUCUAUUGUCGGCCCAUCAUGAGACAAAUAUGAUCGAGAUAGUGCAUAAAGGAGGGGAGCCUAAGAAUCCUUCGCAGGCCGUCAUGAUGAUUCGAUCCACUGAAGCCAGGCCGUUUGGAAAGUCAACAAGUGAGAAAUCAGUGAUCAGGUUGAGCGGAGCAAAUAGUGAACCAUCUGCGGUGGUCGAGAAGGGGACCUCAAGUGAUGUUGUAGUAAAACAAGAAAGAGCAAAAGUGGUUGUGCCAGGAGUGGCGAACAAGCCUAUUGUAAUUGUGGAGGGUGCCCGCACAGAUCCUGUCAUUAUCAAGCCGGUAACUCAAUUAUCGAUAGUCAACAGCAAGGCCAUCCUGUGGAAUUAUGAACGGGUGACAGUAACUUACAAAGGCAAAGAAGUCAAAGAAGAAGUCUAUGAGACCCAUGGAUUGACUCGAUCGGGGAGAUGCUUUGCCCCCGAGAAGUUAAGAAAAGCUAAAACCUCCAAAGAUAAACCAAUGCUAGUGAAGAAAGUUGUGACCGAGGAAGAGGCAGAAGAGUUUUAGAGAAAGAUGAAAGUGCAAGACUAUUCCAUCGUGGAGUAGUUGAGGAAGACACCUACUCAGAUUUCAUUAUUGUCAUUGUUAAUCCAUUCAGACGAGCACCGUCGAGCUUUGAUGAAAAUCCUAAACGAGGCUCAUGUUCCUGACAAAAUCUCAGUAAACCAUUUAGAAAAGAUAGAAAACAAGAUAUUUGAGGUAAAUAGAGUCACUUUUUUUGAUGAUGAGUUGCCCGUGGAGGGUACUGAGCACAAUAGAGCUCUCUAUCUUACGGUGAAAUGCGAAAAUUCCGUGGUUACUCGGGUACUGCUCGACAAUAGUUCUAGUGUGAACAUUGUCCCUCUCUCCACUCUGAACAAAUUGAAAGUGGAUGAUAAAAGAAUUCACAAGAACAAUAUUUGUGUUCGGAGGUUCGACGGUAGAGGGAAAGAUUCAGUCGGUGACAUAGUGCUCGAGCUAGUAAUAGGACCAGUUGAAUUUACCAUGGAAUUCCAGGUGCUAGAUGUGACUGUAAAUUACAAUGUGCUAUUGGGUUAACCCUGGAUUCAUGCUGCCAAAGCAGUCCCGUCUAUACUGCAUCAGAUAGUAAAGUUUGAAUGGGAUAGACAAGAAAUCAUUGUGCUCCCGGUGAUGCCAUUGUUCCGUUCAUUGAGGUUGAAGAUGAUAAGGGUCCUUGGGUCUACCAGGUUUUUGACACGGUGUCGGUAGAGAAGAUUGCAGAAGGGAAGUGCGUCCCAAUUCCGAGGGUAGCUGCUGCAUCAGUCAUAGUAGCCAUUGAAAUGUUGAAAAAUGGUUUUGUACAAAGCAAGGGUUUGGGUGCAUCUCUGCAAGGUAUCGUACAGCCGGUGUCUCUCCCCAAAAACUUGGAUACAUUUGGUUUGGGGUUCAAGCCCACAGUUGCGGACAUAAAAAGAGCCAUAAAGUUGAAACAGAGGGCAUAGGUCUUCCCAAAGCCCAUCCCAUGUCUCUCCAGUUCAUUUGUCAGGCCUGGCACCAAGAAACGCCCAGUAACAACAGUUCUGAGUUCUGCGGUUGGUCCUGAUAAAGAGUUGAUUAAAAGGUUCGAGAAGUUAUUCGAUGAUGUGAACAUGGUGGAAGCUGGAGAGGGUUCUAGCAAGGCGGAUGUGAAAUUUGUUGGACCCACUACAAAGAUUAUCAAUUGGGAAGCUACUCCUCUCCCUACUAGGAAGGAGUUUUGGUAGUUUUCUUUGAUUUUCUUUCAUGUUUAUCUGGAUUAUUCCAGGGUUGUAAUUCAGAUUCUAUGUUCCGUCCGUUUGGAUGUAUAAACCUUGUUAUCUUUCAAUUUCAAUGAAAUGCAAUUUCCCUUUUUUUCAUUCCUGAUAGUUUUAUUUUUGUUUUCUUUUCUUCCUUGUACAAUUCUUUUUAUGCUGGUUUCAAUGACAUGACAUGCAUGAGGAAUCUUCGGCCCAGUCUUAAAAGCCAAUCUAAUUCAAAAAUAGUAAUUCAAGAAAUAGAGUGUGAUGAUGAAUCGGAAUAUGAUGAGGAUGAGGCCUUUGAAGAGAUUAGUAAAGAAUUAAGCCAUUUUGAAGAAACAUUCAUGCCUAACCUGAGUGAUACAAAAGCAAUCAAUUUAGGGGACCCAGAUAAUAUUAGAGAAACUAAGAUAAGUGUCCAUCUUGAACCUCAACUCAGGGAAAAGAUAAUUAAAGCAUUGUUUGAGUACAAGGAUAUUUUUGCAUGGUCAUAUGACAACAUGCCGGGUCUAAGCACUAACUUGGUGGUUCACAAAUUUCCCACUGACCCGGCAUUCCCUCCCGUCAAGCAGAAGUUGAGGAAAUUUAAAACAGACAUGAGUGUAAAGAUUAAGGAAGAGGUCACAAUGCAGUUUGAGGCAAAGGUCAUUCGAGUUACGCGGUAUCCCACUUGGUUAGCCAAUGUCGUGCAUGUACCAAAGAAGGAUGGUAAGACCAGGGUGUGUGUUAAUUAUCGAGAUCUCAACAAGGCAAGCCCAAACAACUUCCCAUUUCCAAACAUCCACAUUUUGAUUGAUAAUUGCGCCAAACAUGAGAUUGGGGUCUUUUGUGGAUUGCUAUACAGGCUAUCAUCAGAUUCUAAUGGAUAAGGAAGAUGUGGAAAAGACGGCAUUCAUCACGCUAUAGGGAACGUAUUUCUAUCGGGUUAUGCCUUUCGGUUUGAAAAAUGUUGGGGCAACUUACAUGAGGGCAAUGACGACCAUAUUCCAUGACAUGAUACAUAAAGAGAUCGAGGUUUAUGUGGAUGAUGUAAUCAUAAAGUCUAGAAAGCAGUCUGACCAUGUUAGAAAUUUGAGAAAGUUCUUCCCAAGGCUUCGCAGGUACAAUCUUAAGCUCAAUCCUGCAAAGUGCGCAUUCGGGGUGCCGUUUGGAAAACUGUUAGGAUUCAUAGUCAGUCGUCGAGGUAUUGAAUUGGACCUGUCAAAGAUCAAAGCUAUCCAAGAAUUGCCACCCCAAGGAACAAGACUGAGGUGAAGAGUUUAUUAGGGAGGUUGAACUACAUCAGCAGGUUUAUUGCUCAGCUUACGACAACUUGUGAGCCUAUCUUCAAACUAUUAAAGAAGGAAAAUGCGGUCAAGUGGAUAGAUGAGUGUCAAGAAGCAUUUGAUAAGAUAAAGGGGUACUUGUCAAACCCACCUGUGUUGGUGCCACAUGAGCUAGGGAGCCCUUUGAUUCUGUAUUUGACGGUUUUGGACCAUUCGUUUGGUUGUGUGCUGGGUCAGCAUGACAUCACCGGCAGGAAGGAGCAGGCCAUCUAUUAUCUCAACAAGAAGUUCACAUCUUACGAGGUUAAGUACACUCACCUUGAGAGGACAUGUUGCGCCCUAACUUGGGUUGCACAGAAGUUGAAAUACUAUUUGUCAUCUUACACUACUUACCUCAUCUCUUGUUUGGAUCCGUUAAAGUAUAUCUUUCAAAAGCCUAUCCUAUAGGGAGGCUCGCAAAGUGGCAGAUCUUGCUCACAGAAUUUGACAUCGUCUAUGUGAAUAGGACUGCGAUGAAAGCCCAGGCAUUGGCCGAUCAUUUGGCUGAGAACCCAGUGGAUGAAGAAUAUGAGCCUUUGAAGACUUACUUCCCUGAUGAAGCGGUAAUGCAUAUUGAUGAGUUGGAACAAGUUGGAGAGCCAGGUUGGAAACUUUUCUUUGAUGGAGCUUCUAACAUGAAAGGCGUUGGGAUAGAAACUGUAGUUAUUUCCGAAAUAGGGCAUCAUUACCUUGUUACGGCUCAACUUCGUUUCUAUUAUACUAACAACAUGACUGCGUACGAGGCAUGCAUUUUGGGUUUGAGAUUAGCUGCAGACAUGGGUGUCCAGGAAGUCUUGGUCUUGAGAGACUCGGACCUUCUGGUACACUAGAUCCAGGGGGAAUGGGAAACACGGGAUUUAAAACUAAUACCGUAUCGGCAAUGUUUCUAUGAUCUUUGUCAACAGUUUCGAUCAGUAGAAUUUAGGCAUAUUCCAAGGAUCCAUAACGAGGUUGCUGAUGUUUUGUCCACCUUAGCAUCAAUGUUACAUCAUCCAGAUAAGGCUUAUGUGGACCCUUUGCAUAUUCAGGUCCAUGAUCAGCAUGUUUACUGUAAUGUGGUGGAAGAAGAACUUGAUGGUGAGCCUUGGUUUCAUGAUAUCAAGGAAUAUACCUAGAUGGGGGUGUAUCCAGUACAAGCCACAGGUGAUCAAAAGAGAACAAAUCGGCGGUUAGCAAGUGGAUUUUUCUUCAGUGGAGGGGUUUUGUACAAAAGGACUCUGGAUCUUGGAUUGUUGAGAUGCAUAGAUGCUAGACAGGCCACAACUAUCAUGAAUGAAGUACAUUCUGGAGUCUGUGGACCACAUAUGAGUGGGUACAUGCUGGCAAAGAAGAUUCUCCGAGCAGGUUAUUAUUGUCUCACUAUGGAGCGAGAUUGUAUCAGUUUCGUGUGCAAGUGUCAUCAAUGCCAAGUGCACGGAGAUUUGAUUCAUUCUCCACCAUAUGAAUUGCGCACAAUGUCUACACCAUGGCCUUUUGUUGCGUGGGUAAUGGAUGUCAUUGGGCCAAUUGAGCCAAUAGUAUCAAAUGGACACAGGUUCAUUCUGGUGGCCAUCGAAUAUUUCACCAAGUGGGUUGAGGUUAAAAUGUUCAAGUUUGUGACCAAGAAAGUAGUGGUCGAUUUUGUGCACUCAAAUAUCAUUUGCCGGUUUGGGAUCCCAAAGGUGAUCAUUACAGAUAAUGGUUCUAAUCUCAAUAGUCAUCUAUUUAAAGAGGUAUGUCAGCAGUUCAAGAUUACACAUUGCAAUUCCACCCCUUACCUCCCUAAGGCGAAUGGAGCAGUCGAGGCGGCCAACAAGAACAUAAAGAAGAUACUUCGGAAAAUGGUGGAAGGUUCCAGACAGUGGCAUGAAAAGUUACCCUUUGCAUUGUUGGGUUAUCGCACUACUGUUUGUACUUUGGUAUUGGCAACUCCUUAUUCGUUGGUGUAUGGUAUUGAAGCAGUGAUACCCGUAGAGGUUGAAAUCCCAUCCCUUCAAAUUGUCGCAGAAGCCGAAAUUGACGAUGAUGAAUGGGUCAAAACCCUCCUGGAACAAUUGAGUUUGAUCCAUGAAAAACGACUGGCAGUAGUAUGUCAUGGUCAGUUGUAAACAAAGAAUGGCAAGAGCAUAUAACAAGAAGGUGCGUCCACGGAAGUUUGAGCUAGGUCAACAAGUAUUGAAACGUAUCCUUCCACAUCAGGCUGAAGCAAAAGGCAAGUUCGCCCCAAAUUGGCAGGGGCUGUUCAUCGUAACGAGAGUAUUGUCCAAUGGUGCUUUAUAUUUAACAGACAUAGAAGGCAAGUGUGUAGAAAUGGCCAUCAAUUCCAAUGCGGUCAAGAGAUAUUAUGUAUGAUUUUCUUUGGUUAAAUUGUAUUUGUUUGUACUUGGCAUAUUUCGAUAAUUGGAAUGAUGAAGACAUUUUAUUCUACUAUCCAAAUACUUUAUCCUUUGUUACCCCCUUUGAGCCUUAUUUAUUUCCUUUCAUACCCCUCUUUUGGAAUCAGUAGAAAAGAUCAGAAACACAAACGUGAAAGAUAAGUAAAGGAAAAAGAGAAAAGAAAAGAAUGAAAAGAGAGAGAAGAAAAAAGAAGAAGAAAAGGAAAAGGAAAAAAAAGAAGAAAAAGAGAAGAAAAGUAAAACAAAAAAAACAACAACAAAACAACAAAACAACAAAAAAGAGAAAAAAAGAAGAAGAAAAGAAAAGAAAAGAAAGAGGAAGAAAAGAAAAAAAAGAUCACAACAACAAAGUAAUUUCUAUGACAUGAACUACGUUCGACCUGAUUCCUUUUAAGGAUACGUAGGCAGCCUCACAGUUCGUUCUCAUCAAAAUAAAAAUCCAAAAGUCCCCAAGCAAAGAAACUGGGCUAGAAGUUGUGAUUGUUGUAAGAAAUCUGAUGCCGAAAGUUGUAAUUUUGAACCCACUUGAAUUGUUUUGAGCUUUUGAUACCCUUUCUUUCUAACCCUAUCCAAAAGCCCACAUUACGAUCCAAAGAAAGACCUUCCGAUCAGUCUUCGAGAGAUGCCAAGACGAGCAAGUAAAGAUAAUUCAUAUAAGGGACAGACUCCGGUCUAAGAAAGAAAAAUAAAAAUGAGAUAGUCUUAUUGGUGAAAACCCUCCUGGGCACCAUAAGGCGACGAAAGAUGAGAGAAAUUAAAAUGAGAGAGUCUUAUUGGUGAAAACCCUCACGGGCACUGUAAGGCGACAGUGAGUUGAGAGACGAACAAAUGAGAGAGGUUUGUUGGUGAAAACCCUUCAGGGCACCGCAAGACGAACAAGGACAAGGUUUUGGUGAAGAAAUUGGGCUUUUGAAUAUCUCGGGGCGUAAAGUACGGCCACUAAAAGUUGAUUGAUUGGAUAGGCUGGGCCGAUUAAUCCAAAAUGCAUGUCAUGAUCAUUGGUGCCGGCUGCUCCACUCAGAUAAGUUUCUUUUCUUUUUCCCUUUCAGACAGUCUUCCAGUUUUGGAUUUUUCUUAUCCCUAACUCUCAAAGUCAUUGCAUUUCAUUUCUUCUGGGUUAUUUCUCUAAGAUGUUUCCAAUGUCAGUUCCGUUUAAGCAAUAAAAAGGGAUUUAAAAUCUCACUACCAACUUCCAAAGUUGCACAAAGCACAGGGCGGUCAAGGCAUUGUUAAAGAUGGUAUGAUGAAAAAUGGGAAAUAAUGUGUCAAGGGAAGGUCCAUUGAUCGAAGGGUUAGUAAUUUCAUGGGAGAUGCAGAGGUUCAGGUAGAUGGGUCAGAGAUGCUACACAACAGUUUGGGUAUAGAACACUCGGGUCAUCCAAGGUCAUGUGGGUGAAAGUCAGUCAGAAAGGCAGGCGGUGCUUGGUCAGUUCGGGGAAAGCAGUCAAAACAAAGCACGACAGCGGAGAGGCCACCUUUAGUAGGAAUGCGACAAACUAACCACCACAUUUUAAACUAACAAGAAUUUUCUUUGAUUAAAACAGGGGUAUAAAAUUUUGUUUGUUUCAGAGAAACCCUCUGUAGGGGAAAAGCAAGCACCAGACAGGUUUGACCGUAAGUUCUCAGGACCCUCCUGGAAAAUGAGACCUAGUUUAAAAUUCAAAACAAUCAGGAGUAACAAAAUUUAGCAUAAAUGUACCCCAAAGGAAUAUAAGUUGGCUUCACAAUUUGCAUGCUUGAAAUAGGAUCCAAUUAGGAGUUGUCAGGACCCUCCUGGAUAAUGGGACUUGGAUUUAAGACUUCCAUUAGAUAACAAGAUUUAGCGUAAGCUCUAUUGUAGGGUAGUGUAAUUCAGCCGUAAAAAUUGUUACCCCUAAGAUAAUACUUGAUUUUUGACUUUCAGGACCCUCCUGGAUAAUGGGGUGUAAUUUUAAGACUCUCUUAGAUAACAAGAUUUAACUGAAAUCACACCUUUAGGAGAUAUAAUUUAGAUUUAAAACCAUCGUUUAAUUAGGAGUUGUCAGGACCCUCCUCGAUAAUGGGAUCUAACUUUCAAAUUCUUAAAAUAUUCGGUAACAUGAUUUAGUUCACACUCACAUAUGUGUCCAUCUACCGAACUGGGACAGAAAAUUUUCUUUGUUUUGUCUAUUUUCUUGCAAUCAGGCGCCCACCUAGAGAGCAUGGGAAUACAGUUCAAGUUCAGCAAUCAGGCACCCACCUGGAGAGCAUGGUAAUACAGGUUUUAGCAAUCAGGCGCCCACCUGGAGAGCGCGGGUAUACAGUUUAAGAUUUGGCAAUCAGGCGCCCACCUGAAGAGCACGGGAAUACAGUUCAAGUUCAGCAAUCAGGCACCCACCUGGAGAGCAUGGGAAUACAGUUAGGUUUUAGCAAUCAGGCGCCCUACCUGGAGAGCGCGGGUAUACAUUUCAAGUUUUGCCAAUCAGGCGCCCACCUGGAGAGCACGGGAAUACAAUUCAAGUUCAGCAAUCAGGCACCCACAGUGGAGAGCACGUGAAUACAGUUAAGUUUGGCAAUCAGGCGCCCACGUUGGAGAGAACGGGUAUACAGUUAAGUUUUGGCAAUUAGGCGCCCACCUGGAGAUCACGGGAAUAUAGUUCAAAUUCUGCAAUGAGGCACCCACCUUGAGAGCACGUGAAUAUAGUUAAAGUUUUGGCAAUCAGGCGCCCACCUGGAGAGCACGGAAAUACAGUUCAAGUUCAACAAUCAGGCACCCAUCUGGAGAGCANNNNNNNNNNNNNNNNNNNNNNNNNNNNNNNNNNNNNNNNNNNNNNNNNNNNNNNNNNNNNNNNNNNNNNNNNNNNNNNNNNNNNNNNNNNNNNNNNNNNNNNNNNNNNNNNNNNNNNNNNNNNNNNNNNNNNNNNNNNNNNNNNNNNNNNNNNNNNNNNNNNNNNNNNNNNNNNNNNNNNNNNNNNNNNNNNNNNNNNNNNNNNNNNNNNNNNNNNNNNNNNNNNNNNNNNNNNNNNNNNNNNNNNNNNNNNNNNNNNNNNNNNNNNNNNNNNNNNNNNNNNNNNNNNNNNNNNNNNNNNNNNNNNNNNNNNNNNNNNNNNNNNNNNNNNNNNNNNNNNNNNNNNNNNNNNNNNNNNNNNNNNNNNNNNNNNNNNNNNNNNNNNNNNNNNNNNNNNNNNNNNNNNNNNNNNNNNNNNNNNNNNNNNNNNNNNNNNNNNNNNNNNNNNNNNNNNNNNNNNNNNNNNNNNNNNNNNNNNNNNNNNNNNNNNNNNNNNNNNNNNNNNNNNNNNNNNNNNNNNNNNNNNNNNNNNNNNNNNNNNNNNNNNNNNNNNNNNNNNNNNNNNNNNNNNNNNNNNNNNNNNNNNNNNNNNNNNNNNNNNNNNNNNNNNNNNNNNNNNNNNNNNNNNNNNNNNNNNNNNNNNNNNNNNNNNNNNNNNNNNNNNNNNNNNNNNNNNNNNNNNNNNNNNNNNNNNNNNNNNNNNNNNNNNNNNNNNNNNNNNNNNNNNNNNNNNNNNNNNNNNNNNNNNNNNNNNNNNNNNNNNNNNNNNNNNNNNNNNNNNNNNNNNNNNNNNNNNNNNNNNNNNNNNNNNNNNNNNNNNNNNNNNNNNNNNNNNNNNNNNNNNNNNNNNNNNNNNNNNNNNNNNNNNNNNNNNNNNNNNNNNNNNNNNNNNNNNNNNNNNNNNNNNNNNNNNNNNNNNNNNNNNNNNNNNAGAGCACGGGAAUACAGUUAAAGUUUUGGCAAUCAGGCGCACACCUGGAGAGCACGGGCAUAUAGUUCAAGUUUUGGCAAUCAGGCGCCCACCUGGAGAACACGAGAAUACAGUUCAAGUUUUUGGCAAUCAGGCGCCCACCUGGAGAGAACGGGAAUACAGUUAAAGUUUGGGCAAUCAGGCACCCACCUGGAGAGAACGGGAAUACAGUUCAAGUUCAGCAAUGAGGUGCUAACCUGGAGAGCACAGGAAUUCAGUUCAAGUUUUGGUAAUCAGGCGACCACCUGGAGAGCAAGGGGGAGCAGCACCAGUUUUAAGGAAGGGAAACAGUUUAAGUGUCGGUAAUCAGGCGUCCACCUGGAGAAAAGGAAAGCAUCUCAUAUUAAAAUUCGUCGAGUAAUCAGGGGUCCACCUGAAGAAAAGGAAAAGUGUCUCAGAUCACAACUCAAGUUGGCAACAAAGGGCCUUCACCGGGAGAAUACAAGUCAACAAGGCAACAAGAAUCACAAGAUUAAGUUUGAAGAUACAGAUAGGAUUUUUGUAAUGCAUAGAUCAUAGUUUAGUCUAACUUCUUUUAUUUUGUCAUGGUGUAAUAAUGAGUUCAAUAAGCAGUAGCAGCAACAGCAACAUUGAAAUCAAAGCUUCAUGGUAGUCCCAGCUACCGAAACUUCCCGAGCUACAUUGGCCUAAUUUCUUUAUAGCAGAGGAUAUGUAGGCAACCUCGAAAGCAGGGUGCGGUCAAAUAUUUCAAAAAAUUCUUUCAACGGAGUAUUCAAACGGCCAAAAAUCACUUGUAUCUGUUCACUUUAUCUUUGUACGUAAACUCUCCGUGUUUUUGAGCAAAGAGGGGCAGCUGUGAGCACGUGAUUUUUCCCCUAUAUGAAUUACUCCCACAAAUUCAAAACAAAAUAAUUUUUUCCAUUGUUUGCAAUUUCGUGGAUUUUUGUAGCAUUUUUUGAUUAAUUGCUUGCAUUUGUCUGCGCAUGUUUAUUUUAUUUAAUUAAUGAAAAAUACAAAAUAUGUUGUAUUUGCAUUUACGAUUUAACUUUGCAUUUUUGAAUUAAGUAGUAAAAUAGUUAUUUUAUAAGAAUUGGAAAAAUCACAAAAAUAGUUUACUAUUGCUUUUUAAUUUUAGUCUUGAAUUUUGUUAAUUUUCCUUUAAUUUAGUUUUAAUUGAUAGUAGUAAGUAUUGUUUAUAGUAGUUAAUUUGAUUAGAUAAUUUGUAUUAGGAAUUAUUAGGUUUGUUUUUAACUUUAAUUUAUAAAGAAAAAGAAAAUAAAAAGAAAGAAAAGGGAAAGAAUUGGGAAAAGAAUUUGAUUUUGGGCCAGAUCAGCUGAUUUUCCCCAGGCCCAAACCAAAGUCCUCUUCAAUUACAUGGCCCAGAGUCACGGUGCAUCCCCUCCCCUUUUUGGCUCUCAUCUUCACCUCAAAAGACCGGGGGAUCAGACUUCAAUGGAGGAAAACUAGCAGCUAAUGGACUCCCUCAUAUCAGCGCCGUUUCCCCAUUCUUCAUCCUCAUCUCUUGCUGAACCAGAAAGAGACCACUCUCAUCAUCAACAAGAACAAAAAUCGGACCCUUUCCCUCUAGGACCAACCUUAGCCGACUAAAAUACACACACAUUCCUCACAAAUAACACACGGUUGAAAUAAAGCUUAGAAAAUUCAAAUGAAGAUUUGAAAUCGCCAACCUUGAAAAACAAAAGAAGAAUUGGAAUUUUUAAAGGAAGAUUGAAGGAAAAUUGAUUUCGAAAUCAACUUCUUUUUUUCUAGUGGGUUUGUACAAGCUAUCGAAGUUCGAAUCUAUGGCUGUUUUUGCUUCGCUUUUGGGAGGUUGUUAUACUCAAGUCGAGAUCCUUGUUUCUGCCAUUGUUCCGGAGUUGAUCAAGCUGUAAUUGUAGCAACUGGCUUUUGGAUUUCUUUGGACCUGUUUCAGUGAUUUUCUCUGUUGCUUAAUUAGGUAAGUUGGAAUCCCCCUUGUAUUCUGUUUUUUUUCUUUUCAUUUUAAUGAUUAAAACUGUUGGGUCCCUUGAUUAAUUCAUGUGAGUUUGUUUCAUGACUUGGAAUUCUGCUAUCUCAGUAUUUUAGGCAAUUUAUUUUGAUUAACGUGUUGUCAUAGCUGAUAUGCUUAUUCAUGUUGAAGACACC